UACGUAGGGUGCGAGCGUUAAUCGGAAUUACUGGGCGUAAAGGGUGUGCAGGCGGCUGAGUAAGACAGAUGUGAAAUCCCCGGGCUUAACCUGGGAACCGCAUAUGUGACUGCUUGGCUAGAGUGCGUCAGAGGGAGGUGGAAUUCCACGUGUAGCAGUGAAAUGCGUAGAUAUUAGGAGGAACACCAGUGGCGAAGGCGGCCUGCUGGACAGAAACUGACGUUGAGGCUCGAAAGCGUGGGGAGCAAACAGG
rnacentral:rRNA from 1 species